GACGAACGCUGGCGGCGUGCUUAACACAUGCAAGUCGAACGGAAAGGCCCUGCUUUUGUGGGGUGCUCGAGUGGCGAACGGGUGAGUAACACGUGAGUAACCUGCCCUUGACUUUGGGAUAACUUCACGAAACUGGGGCUAAUACCGGAUAGGAGCUCCUGCUGCAUGGUGGGGGUUGGAAAGUUUCGGCGGUUGGGGAUGGACUCGCGGCUUAUCAGCUUGUUGGUGGGGUAGUGGCUUACCAAGGCUUUGACGGGUAGCCGGCCUGAGAGGGUGACCGGCCACAUUGCGACUGAGAUACGGCCCAGACUCCUACGGGAGGCAGCAGUGGGGAAUAUUGCACAAUGGGCGGAAGCCUGAUGCAGCAACGCCGCGUGCGGGAUGACGGCCUUCGGGUUGUAAACCGCUUUCGCCUGUGACGAAGCGUGAGUGACGGUAAUGGGUAAAGAAGCACCGGCUAACUACGUG
rnacentral:rRNA from 1 species